rnacentral:lncRNA from 1 species
AGGCAUUUUUUUAUUUUUUCCGCAGCGGAAUCGACGGGCUUUACCCAUAGUUUUUGGCUCAUCCGCCAGUCCUGUUACUCCAAUUUAACCAUGAGGGUGUUCAAAAUCAAAUAUCGAAUGAAUAAAUUUUUUUUUUUACCUUUUUUGGCGGUCGGAGGUUGCUCUGGCACGGUGGCAGAUGGCGAUCAGCUCCCUUCUCCGGCGACUGAUUCUUUGUGCUGGCGGCUAGGG